ACUCGGUUAGCUCAGCUGGUUAGAGCACAUGCCUUACAAGCAUGGGGUCGCUGGUUCAAGUCCAGUACCGAGUA
rnacentral:tRNA from 1 species